rnacentral:rRNA from 1 species
GACGAACGCUGGCGGCGUGCUUAACACAUGCCAGUCGAACGGAAAGGCCCUGCUUUUGUGGGGUGCUCGAGUGGCGCACGGGUGAGUAACACGUGAGUAACCUGCCCUUGACUUUGGGAUAACUUCAGGAAACUGGGGCUAUUACCGGAUAGGAGCUCCUGCUGCAUGGUGGGGGUUGGAAAGUUUCGGCGGUUGGGGCUGGAAUCGCGGCUUAUCCGCUUGUUGGUGGGGUAGGGGCUUACCAAGGCUUUGACGGGUAGCCGGCCUGGGAGGGUUACCGGCGACAUGGGGACUGAGAUACGGCCCAGACGCCUACGGGAGGCAGCAGUGGGGAAUAUUGCACAAUGGGCGGAAGCCUGAUGCGGCAACGCCGCGUGCGGGAUGACGGCCUUCGGGUUGUAAACCGCUUUCGCCUGUGACGAAGCGUGAGUGACGGUAAUGGGUAAAGAAGCACCGGCUAACUACGUG